CAGUCGCCACGGGAAUACGGAGGGAGCUAGCGUUGUUCGGAAUUACUGGGCGUAAAGCGCACGUAGGCGGCUUUGUAAGUUAGAGGUGAAAGCCUGGAGCUCAACUCCAGAAUUGCCUUUAAGACUGCAUCGCUUGAAUCCGAGAGAGGUGAGUGGAAUUCCGAGUGUAGAGGUGAAAUUCGUAGAUAUUCGGAAGAACACCAGUGGCGAAGGCGGCUCACUGGCUCGGUAUUGACGCUGAGGUGCGAAAGCGUGGGGAGCAAACAGGAUUAGAUACCCGCGUAGUCCCUGUCUCUUAUAC
rnacentral:rRNA from 1 species